AGGAAAUAGAUACCCGGGUAGUCCACGCUGUAAACGAUGAACACUAGGUGUAGGUGAUGUGAAAAGUUAUCUGUACCGAAAGCCAAACGCGUUAAGUGUUCCGCCUGGGGAGUACGGCCGCAAGGCUAAAACUCAAAGGAAUUGACGGGGCCCGCACAAGCAGCGGAGCGUGUGGUUUAAUUCGAUGCAACGCGAAGAACCUUACCCAGGUUUGACGUGCACGUAGUAGUGAAGCGAAAGCGGAACGACCCUUCGGGGAGCGUGCACAGGUGCUGCAUGGCUGUCGUCAGCUCGUGUCGUGAGAUGUUGGGUUAAGUCCCGCAACAAGCGCAACCCCUGUUGCUAGUUACAAGUGUCUAGCAAGACUGCCGACAUCAAGUUGGAGGAAGGUGGGGAUGAUGUCAAGUCAGCAUGGCCUUUAUAUCUGGGGCGACACACACGCUACAAUGGGCAGUACAAUGGGCAGCGAAGGGGUUGACCUGGAGCGAAUCUCAUCAAAGCUGUUCGUAGUUCGGAUUGUAGGCUGC
rnacentral:rRNA from 1 species